UGGGCGAAAGCCUGACGGAGCAACGCCGCGUGAGUGAUGAAGGUCUUAGGAUCGUAAAACUCUGUUGUUAGGGAAGAACAAAUUUGUUAGUAACUGAACAAGUCUUGACGGUACCUAACCAGAAAGCCACGGCUAACUACGUGCCAGCAGCCGCAGUAAU
rnacentral:rRNA from 1 species